rnacentral:lncRNA from 1 species
AGUUCAAAAGCAAAAAUAUUUUAAUUCAGUAAUUCUAAAUUUGUUAAACUAAAAAACUAUCAAAAAUAAUUCAAAACACAAUUUUUUCUAAUAGUAUUUUUUUAGAUAAUACUUUGUCUGACAACAAUAUAGACUAAAGAAUAACCAGAGAAGCUCUUAGGUAUCAUUUGGUUCGGGAAUAAGCAAAAAGUGGGUAUUCCAGGAAUAGGUAUAAAUUGAGGUAUAAGCAGGGAUUAGAUUAAUUUUGCGUUUGGAUGAAAAUUGGGUUAUUCCUGGGAAUAAGAAAAAUAACGUUUGGUUAGGUAAGAUGGAAUAAGAUUUAAAGUGGGUAAUUAUAAAUAAAAAUUAAUAAUAUUAUCACUUUUUUAUUUAUAUUAGAAUUUAAAUUUUUAUAUUUUAUAUUUAUAUUUUAAAAUUUAAAAUUUUAACUUUUAAAUUUCAAAUUUUGAAAUUAAAAUUUAAAAUUUAAAAUCUCAAAUUUUAAAUUCAAAAUUUAAAUUUUAAAUUUCUAACUUUAAAUUUAAGAUCAAAUUU